UAUAAGACUUAUCCUACAAAUUUAAUAUUAAGAGAAUUUUGUGUUCAACUUUGGUAGUUUUGAGAUGGAAGAUAUAGCCUAUUGAAUCAAACGAAGCAUGGAUUCAUUUCUGUGAAAUAAAAGAAAGAGAACAAUAGGACUGUACACUAACAUGAUUAUGGUGCUCUGCAUGUACACGCAGAGCUAUGUACUUAACAAUUUAAAAAAUCUGGGGUAAGUGUGAAUAAAGUUCUAUUGGCAAGUCCAUCGCUAAGUGACGAAACCAUUAAACACAUCCACAGAUGGUUGAAGAAGAUGCACUUUGGACGACAGGAGGUCUGGUUUUUGGUGUGGGAGGUUUUUUAUGGAACUAUGGUUCCGCAACAUCUUUCCGGUGAUAGGUUUAUGCCUAGGUAAUUGUUGGGGAAGAGGAACUUCUGUUGAAAGUCUAGCAAGAGCUUUCUUGGGGUUUACCAUAGGGAUGAGAGGACAUCUGGAGAAGAGGGGAGCCCAAAAGAGCUUCAUCGAAGAACUGUCACAAUAGUGCUGGCUGAUGGAGCAAACUCUACAUGUUUCAGGCCUUAAUAUUGAAGUUUCUACGUGCGAAAUGCUGGGGAUUCAUGUUCAGCAUGAAGAAUAUUGCAGUUGGAAAAUGUUUUUGGUUGCAGAAGUGGCUCAUUCCCCUCCACUUAUCUCAGGUUGCCGCUUUGCAUAGGGAAGCCGGUGAAGCACUUCUGGGACAAGGUGAUCGAAAGGGUAGAAAGGAAGCUUUCUAGUUGGAAGUGCCAAUACUUAUAACUGGGAGGUCGCUUAGUUCUUAUUGAAGCCGUUGUUUCCAACACAUUGGUUUACUUUAUAUCUCUGUUUAAAUGCCCUAAAUCAGUUCUAGAAAGGCUUGAUAAGUUGAGAAGAGACUUUCCAACACGCACGUGUUGUUUGGGGUGCCAAUGACCAUUGGCACCUGUCUUAUCUACGGUGUAACUGGUGUUAGUUGGGGCUUUCAGGCCCUUGUAUUUUGUAAACUCUAUUUCUUUUUAAUUUCCUUUAAUGCUA